GUGGCUCACGCCUAUAAUCCCAGCACUUUGGGAGGCAGACGCAGGUGGAUCAUCUGAGGUCAGGAGUUUGGGACAA
rnacentral:SRP_RNA from 14 species